CAAACAUUUUCCUUAAAGCAAAGGAGGGAUCCAAGUAAGGAUUUUGUGGAUUUCUGCAGUGGAUGCUCAUUUGUGUAUUUUGCAAGAGCCAAAGCAUCCUGGUGGGCAUCUCUGUUACCCAUCCAGAAAACGGAAGGUUUUUCUGUUUUACAGUUUAACGAGCAUUUUCCCUCCUGCCUCCUCAGGGGAAAAAAGAAAAGAGAGAAAGAAAGCCCUGUGACUAGAAUUAUAAUGAGCCCCCAAAGGUGGUCCUUAUUAUCUUCUGUAACUUAGCAACAUGCUGGGGGAGCAACGAGGAGGGUUUGCAUUCAUUGGUGAGAAGUGGGUGGAAAGAAGGAACUAUGCCUGGUGCACCAGGUACAAUGCGAGGAGGCGUCUGUGCCUGCAGUUCUACUUCUGAGGAAGGAAGGAAAGAAGAGAAAUUGCAUCCGCAGUGAUGGGCACGAGACUUGUGAGGCUGCUACAAGAUCGAUCCAUGGGAUGCCCAGGGAAGGGACUUGGAACUGGUCUCUGCUCCCAGUGUAUGCAAUUUGCCUGCCAUCGAAUUUCCAGGUGUUAGUAAGGAAAAAGAGUAAACAUGGAGAGUUACGUGCAGCUCCUGUCACAGGCUCCCUCCUCCGAGGUCACAGUGGGGUGAAGUGGACUCAGAUCUCUUGCAAGCCCAGAAAGGCUGUCCCUCUUUCUUCCCCAGAGAUCACAAGGAAAAUCCAGCUGUGAUGUGUGUCACCCCAGGAUCGACAGUAAAAAGCAGGGAAAGGGUCCCUCAGCCCUGGCCUGAGCCCUGACUGCAGCCCGGCUCCCUGCCCCCAGCACGUUCUGCACAGCAUCUCUGGCAAGCCAGCUGCUGAUCAGCUCACCGCCCUCCCUCCCCUGUGGGAGAGUACAGGGACACACACAUGAUCAAUCACAUGCGGCUCUCCCUUCCUCGAGGACUCCGGGAGACAGAUAUUGUGCUCCAUAGAUAUGCACAAUAUGGCGGACUCGAUUCAUGCAAACUCAAUCAGCUCCUGAAGGUUCCUGACUUCAGUGCAGAUGACUAUGGAAAUGCAAUGAUGCUUGAGUGCUGCUCCUCACUGAGCACCACAGUGUGUGUCACGAUUCCUGCCGGAUUCUCUGCCCUGGCUGGAAAGGCAGAUCAGAGAGUGCUUGGGUUUGUGGUCCCUGCAUGGCAGCACAAAAGGAGAUGAAGAGGAAAUGGUAGGCGUCUGAAGAAGGGAUUUGGGCAGAGCUGCUGGUUGUGCUUUUGACAAACAGAAACCUGCACAAACACCGGCGAGGGUGGAAAGAGUCCUGGCUAACUUUGGAAGAUGCCUCCAGAUGACUCCAGUAGGCCUUUUCACAGAUGCAGCCAUCUGUGACAUUGUGGUCACAGCCUCUCCACCAACUUAGACAUUUCCACAGGGCCGGAGCAGCUGAAGCACUCUCAUAAAGUGUUCCCAACACCCACCUUGUUUCUCUCACUUUGUAUUUUGUCUGGCUUUGAAUACCUUGGACCAAUAUGGAGUUAAUACCCCUUAGUUCCCUGAAAUAGAGUGCUGUUUUGAUAGUGUUAUAGCUAGUGUCUAGAUGUCCCUCCAAAGCCUCAUGCAGUCAGAGGUGGGGCUUUUUCAGAAGUGGCUGGAUCUCACGUGUGUGACACUGGAAUUGAUUCACGGUAGAAUGCUAGGCUCAAAGGCACUAGGAUUAAGGGAGUGAGUGCUACCUACCCUAAGUAGUCUGGAUAAGAUUUCUUUUUAAAAAGGGCAGAAAGACACUGUUAAGGUCCCUUUUUGCUUUGCUACCUUCUGCCCGCCAUGAACUGUUCUCCUCUGCAAUACCACCCUGCCUUGGAGCCAGCCAAUUAUGGACUGAAACAUCUACAAAUUGUGAGCUAAUAAACCUUUCCUUUAAUUUUGGAUGUCGGGUAUUUUGUCUCAGCAAUGAGAGAAAAGUAACUAAGACAGAUAGUGACGGCUUAUUAAGUGAGUGGUAGCAUUUAUAUUGGCACAGGACUUCUACAUACAUUACUUAGACUUGAUUCUCACAACUCAUGAUGGCAAGAAAAGCAAGUGAUAAAUAGUUACCCCUUGGUAUCCUUGGGAAAUUGGUUCUAGGACUCUCCCACCUCAGGUACCAAACUGGGUGGAUUCUCAUAUCUCUUCUAUAAAAUGUGUAGUAUUUGCAUAUAAUCUAUGCAUGUCCUCCUGUGUGGGCUAAAUCAUCUCCAGG
ensembl:lncRNA